UGAACAGGUUUGACUACAAGGAGACUACAA
rnacentral:piRNA from 1 species